rnacentral:rRNA from 1 species
UAAGGAAUCUUCCGCAAUGGACGAAAGUCUGACGGAGCGACACCGCGUGGUGGAUGACAGCCUAUGGGUUGUAAACACCUUUUCUAGAGGAAGAAGAUCUGACGGUACUCUAGGAAUAAGGUCCGGCUAAUUACGUGCCAGCAGCCGCGGUAAUACGUAAGGACCAAGCGUUAUCCGGAAUUAUUGGGCGUAAAGCGUCCGCAGGCUGUGAUAUAAGUCAGUUAUUAAAUACCGAUGCUCAACAUCGGUGCCGUAACCGAAACUAUAUUGCUAGAGGAUGGUAGAGGUGUGUGGAAUUCUACAAGUAAGGGUAAAAUCCGUAGAUAUGUAGAGGAACAUCAAAAGCGAAG